ensembl:lncRNA
GGAAAUAUCAGAGUGAGAGUACGUGUCCUUGUGAGCAUCGGAAGCCUGUGUGUGACUCAAAUGAGGCGGAUUAUAUACAGCUGCUGCUCCCUGGGGAUGCGGAUUUUGUUGGAGGAUCAGGUGAAGCACUGACAGCGCUCAUCGCCGCCGCGGCUGCGACACCCACGCCACUGCGAUCAAUCCCAAUUAAAACUUCAGGUCGACUGGAAAUGGAAAGAGUCGGAAGCCAAACGAGUACGGCGGGAUUUGCUUUCCUCAGCGGCCUUUGGAGGAAAAACACCGGCUGUGUCUUUUUUAAAUUAUUUUUUGGAUGUUGUUGUUUUCAUUUAUUUUCUCGCCGCGCGGUAAUUGAAAUUAAUAUUAUGUGUUUGCAUUAGACGGAGCGGGCGUGUGUCUGUGUGUUGUGAUUGAGAGGGUCAAAUAACAUGUGUGCAC